rnacentral:snRNA from 1 species
AGGGAAUGUUCCACUAUAAGACA